rnacentral:rRNA from 1 species
GACGAACGCUGGCGGCGUGCCUAAUACAUGCAAGUCGAACGCAUUUUCUUUCACCGUAGCUUGCUACACCGAAAGAAAAUGAGUGGCGAACGGGUGAGUAACACGUGGGUAACCUGCCCAUCAGCGGGGGAUAACACUUGGAAACAGGUGCUAAUACCGCAUAAUUCCAUUUACCGCAUGGUAGAGGGAUGAAAGGCGCUUUUGCGUCACUGAUGGAUGGACCCGCGGUGCAUUAGCUAGUUGGUGGGGUAACGGCCUACCAAGGCUGCGAUGCAUAGCCGACCUGAGAGGGUGAUCGGCCACACUGGGACUGAGACACGGCCCAGACUCCUACGGGAGGCAGCAGUAGGGAAUCUUCGGCAAUGGACGCAAGUCUGACCGAGCAACGCCGCGUGAGUGAAGAAGGUUUUCGGAUCGUAAAACUCUGUUGUUAGAGAAGAACAAGGAUGAGAGUGGAAAGUUCAUCCCUUGACGGUAUCUAACCAGAAAGCCACGGCUAACUACGUG